UACGUAGGUGGCGAGCGUUGUCCGGAAUUACUGGGUGUAAAGCGCGUGUAGGCGGGAGGCCAAGUCUGCGGUGAAAUCGCUCGGCUCAACUGGGCGGGGUCCGUGGAAACUGGUCACCUGGAGGACGGUAGAGGCGAGUGGAAUUCCUAGUGUAGAGGUGAAAUUCGUAGAUAUUAGGAAGAACACCAGUGGCGAAGGCGGCUCACUGGCCCGGUACUGACGCUGAGGCGCGAAAGCGUGGGGAGCAAACAGG
rnacentral:rRNA from 1 species